UUAAUUAGUAGAAAUUCAACAUUGGUACAUAAAUAUUAUCAAGCUGGAGUGUGCCAGUGGUGAAGGUAGCAGCUAAUCAUGUCUGCUAUGCUACUGAGCCAACAGAUCUCUGCCUGUGCUCCCCAGUGAUAACUGUGCAAAUAAAAAUGAACGAUCAAAAUAAAUCUUCGACUGGAUUGUGCACUUCUAAAUCAUAAAGCUACAAGACAUAGGAGAAGAAUUGAAAAAACAUUUUUUUUGAAGCACCGAGUCGACUUGGGGAGGUUAAGAACGGAUUUCUCAGCAGUGAAAUCUAGGCCCAAAGCGAAUAGCUGGAUGGUGUGUUCUAGGCCUGAGUGAUUCGAUGUGGUGGAGCUUGGAUCCUAAUGUGAGAUUUCAGCAUCUGCACUCUCAAGGUAGUUUGUACAGGCCUUUGCUAUAGAACAUUCUACACACAGCUGAAAACCAUGGACUGCAGGAACUCAUGGAAAACUCCAGUUACCAGUGCUGUGCCACUGAGCAAGCAGAGGGAGCUACGAGCCUUCUCCCGGUGUAUCAAAAGAUGUGGCUGACGUACACAAAAACACAAGAAAACAGGAGCAGGAAUAGGGCCACUCAAGCUGCCCCACCUUUCUGUAUAAUCAUGGCUGAUCUAAACUGGCCACAACUCCUCUUCUGCGCCAGCUCAAAGAAUCUGAUGGUCUGCACACCACCAUCCUUGGGGACAGAGAUUUCCACGGGUUUACUACAGUCUUGAGAAAAGGUUGAAAGGAUUCAGGGGAACGUGAAGGGGAACUUCUUCACUCCGAGAGUAAUGAAGGGAUGGAACGAGCUGCCAGCACAAGUAGUGGAUGCAAUCUUACUUUCAACAUUCAAGAGAAGAUUGGGCAGGAAAGACAUCAUUAAACUGGAGAGAGAGCAGAGAAAAGUCUACAGAAAGUGGAGUGUAGAGUGCAGUCCGUCACAGGGCAAGUCCUCCCCAUGAUUUUGCACAUCUACAAGGGGUACUGACGUGAGAAAGCAGCCUCCAUCAUCAAGGACCCCACCAUCCAUACCCUCUUCUCGCGCUCCU